rnacentral:rRNA from 1 species
AAUCAACGCUGGCGGCGUGCCUCAGACAUGCAAGUCGAACGCGAAAGGUUCCUUCGGGAGCCGAGUAGAGUGGCGCUCGGGUGAGUAACACGUAGGUAAUUUGCCUUUGGGUGGGGAAUAACAAUCGGAAACGGUUGCUAAUACCGCAUAAUGCAGCGGCUCGACAUCGAGACAGUUGUUAAAGCGGGGGAUCCUUCGGGACCUCGCGCCUAAAGAGAAGCCUGCGGCGGAUUAGCUAGUUGGUGAGGUAAUGGCUCACCAAGGCGACGAUCCGUAACCGGCCUGAGAGGGCGGACGGUCACACUGACACUUAAAUACGGGUCAGACUCCUACGGGAGGCAGCAGUCGGGAAUUUUGGGCAAUGGGCGAAAGCCUGACCCAGCAACGCCGCGUGAAGGAUGAAAUCCCUCGGGAUGUAAACUUCGCAAGAACGGGAAGAAUAAG